rnacentral:rRNA from 1 species
GAUGAACGCUAGCGGGAGGCCUAAUACAUGCAAGUCGAGCGGUAGAGUGACUUCGGUUGCUUGAGAGCGGCGCACGGGUGAGUAACGCGUACAUGACCUACCUUUAAGACUGGGAUAGCCCUGGGAAACUGGGAUUAAUACCGGAUGUGAUAAUACGUAUAGAGAUGUAUUAUUAAAGUUGAGGCGCUUAGAGAUGGAUGUGCGUCUGAUUAGCUAGUUGGUAGGGUAACGGCCUACCAAGGCGACGAUCAGUAGGGGGCGUGAGAGCGUGGCCCCCCACACGGGUACUGAGACACGGACCCGACUCCUACGGGAGGCAGCAGUAAGGAAUAUUGGACAAUGGGCGCAAGCCUGAUCCAGCCAUGCCGCGUGAGUGAAGAAGGCC